GCCAUGGCACCACAGCAUCCCCCUCCUUCACAGCCGGCUCCUGGGGGGCUUCACCUCUCGGUACCUGGGCAAGGGCACUGGAACCCCCACCAGGAAGGGCCCUCCCAGGAUCCCUGGGGGUUGAACCACCAAGAAUUCCAACAGCCUCUCUCUCCAGGUUUUCCACAUCUACUUUCUGGAUUGUUUGCCAGCCAGCUUGAGGGAAGGAUGCUUGGCAAGUCCUGUCCGUUCGGGAGAGCCUUCCCGAAAAAGAAGUAAAAGAGGUGGGAACACCCAGGAGCACUAAGGGAAUAUUUAUAUAUUGUUCAUUAAGAUACCUGAGCCCAGACACGGUUUGUGAGCCCCAAGCUGAGCCAGCUGUGGGGGCAGAACAGUGGGAGCCAAGAAAACCCCUCCCCAGCAAGGUCCUGGUGCACAGCUUGCCAAAAUAAUGUCACUUUACGGGCCUUCGAGGUGACUCCAGGAGAAAGUGCUGGCUGUGGAGGUCCCUGCCAGGGCCACUCCUGCUGCCUGUGGCCCCACAGCUGCAGGGUUUUAGGCAGAGGGGGAGAUAAUCAAGCCCUUCAUCAAAACACAAAUUUGGAUGAACAUAAUUAUAAAAUGAAAUUAAUUUCAUAUUUAAAAGUCAGAGGUUUUCUCUUGAAGGAAAUAUUGAAAUGUCUUAGUUCAGUCUGGUUUGGUUUUUUUUUUUCCUUUAGGGGCAAGGGAGGUAAAAUAAAGAAACAAAUACACAAAUAGGUGGAACAUGCCAGGUUUUUGUUGGGGUUUUUUUGUUGUUGGUUUGUUUUUUUUCAAAUCCAGAUUUUGCACCGCUCCUACACUGCAGAUGGAUGUAUUUGGCCAACCCUAACUUCCACAAUAUCCGUUUCUAAGCUGUGGCCAAGCCUCUAAAACAGCACCUACCUGCUGCCUGGUUAAUGCCAGGGAAGCAGCAAACAUGAUGCUCCUGGCCAUUGGGAAAGCAAGAAAAAAGCCUGGAAACACAGAGCUUCCAACCCAGCUCAUCUCCCCAUCGGUGCCCUUUGAGCAUCUUUUGUGUUCUCAGUGUUUGCCGUGUCUGAACACAGCCCCAGCCCCGCUCUGUGCUGCCGCUGCACUUUGUCUGGUUGAUAUUUCUGCAGGGCUGCUUUUCCAUUGUUAUUCACUCCUGGCCAAGAGGCAGAAUGCAUUAAAGCCAUCGGGGUGCCAGUGA